CAGCCUCCAGAACUGUGAGGCAAUACAGCUGUGUUGUUUAAGCCACUCUCUUGGUGGCUGUGUUGUGGUAGUAACCAAGUUACAGCAGCUUUAGCAAACUAAUAAAGGGGUGCAGCCUGCUUUUUAGGACUGAAUCCAUAACCUGACUUCCUCCCAGGAAAACGUCAUGCCUAGCAGGCCUGUGGCUGGUUUUUAACCUGACGCCUUCAUCGUGGAGAGAGAGCAGAGUCGGCAAGGCCGCCUUGGGCAGCUGCCGUGACUAAGAGGUUAGAGCCUCCAUCUGUUUGGGAGACAAGUCCCGCGUGGGUUGUUUGAGCCUUGGCCUCCCUGUGCAGUUUGCCUUUGUGUCCUGAGCUUUGUCAGAGAGGAGGAAAACCCGUCAUGGGCAAACUGGCUUUUUCCCAUAGGGAAUUGGUGGCAUCGCCUGAAGCAUUCUUUCUAUCAUUCACGAUAUUCUAAAGAUGCAUUUUUUUUCCUUCUAACUCGAAUGUCUCCUCGUCUCAGGGGAAGCAGUGGGGAGAGAUGGCACUACGCCAGGCUGGAAAUGCACUUUCGAAAUCAGGAUAUCAAUGAGACCAUCCAGUUGCCUGCUCAGAGCAGAGCCUGGUCCUGGGAACUGUGGCUCACUUGAUUUAGCAGAAAAAGGAAAGGCGGAGGAUGUGGUUUGAUUCCUGGCUCUGCAACUUUCCAGUUGUAUGUAGUUGUGUGACUUAUGGUUUUCAAGUCAUGCCACUUCUCUGAGCCUUGGUUCCUAACUGUAAAAUAUCCAAUAAUCAGCUUUUUUUUUUUGGAGACAGAGUCUCAGUCUGUCACCCAGGCUGGAAUGCAGUGGUGCGAUCUCGGCUUACGGCAAACUUCGCCUCAUGGGUUCAAGUGAUUCUCCUGCCUCAGCUUCCCAAGUCUUCAGUUGCCAUCCUGUCCUUGCAGCCCCUGAGAGCUUCCUGAGGAGUGUUGAGCAGGAAAGGGUGGCCAGAGAGGAGCACCUGGAGCCUCACAGACAGCAGUGCCCACCACAGGGACAGGGAGAGCCACUGUCAGCUCUGCAGAGUGCUUCUGUGGUCGUCCACUGGGAGAGAAGAAUAACAUCCCCUGAGGGAGAGUGGGUGGAAUAUGCAGCAGGGCCUGAAAGACAUCCCUGGGGACAAGGCAGCCGGGCAAGGCUGGAUUGCAGGAAUGAUGGUGUCAGAAGGCCCCAAGCUUUGUUAUCUGGAAGAGAACGACCUGGUGGACUAGGAGGUCUGGGUGAUCACUCCGACCGAGAAGCCAAGGAUGAAAUACAAGGUAACAGGUCAAUGUGGGUGCUCCUGGUUGGCAGGUGGCUCUCUGUAUGA
rnacentral:lncRNA from 13 species